GGAGCAGAGAGAGAAAAGGAAACAUCUGGAGCGUGAAUACAGUCCUCCAGCUGUAAAGAAAUCAAGAGACUUAAGGAAGGAGGAGUCACCACCUGGGAGCGUUGUGGAUGACAAGAUCCUGGUCCAAGAGGAAGAAGAUCCAUCUGUCAAGUUGCAGAGCUACACCCGUGACUCCGGUGUGUGCACGCCCAAUGAUGUUGACUUCCAGCUGCUUCAACAAGAUGUGCCUGAGCCAUGUGAGGUUGUCGAGAUCGAAACCUGCAGCCAG